UGGAUCCUAUAGAACAUAUCCUUCACUACACACGGGUAUUCAUCAUCCUAGUGUGCUGAACUUGGCCUCCAGAGCUGAUGUUCUUCCCACGAGGCUCUCCCACUCCUGCGGCCAUGAAAGGACCAAGGUUGUCAAAGUCCAAUGAAAUGAGAGUCGAUUGCCCGGAAGUCAAAGUCCGACAACCCAGUAACGGCCGACAAGUUGUUGGUGCUGAACACAAUGUCUUCUUCUUUCCUAUCUCUCGCAACUCAGACUGACACAGAAGGGAAGAAAGAUAAAAAAAAAAGAAGUCAUCCUCUCACAGCCAAUCAGCGGCUACGAUGUUGACCUUUGUCCCCCUCGCCUAACGUGUACAAUAUAAAGGGGAGAAAACUCUACGUACUAGGAGUGAUUCAGAGUUUGUCUCAUCUACGAGGUCUGAAUUAUUGUCAUUGUACAUCACAACAAGUAACAACGGUAUUCCGUAGAGGUUGAAGUUCUACCUGACUGUAACUCUCUCUAACCGUCAGAUACUACGUCAUCAUGCGACACCUGGUGGUCCUUGUGGCGGUGCUGGUGGUGCUGUGUCACUUGGCCGUUGUCACAGCGACUGAUGAUGCCGCGAGUGAAUCGUUGGUUAAUGCGGCAAAUGGUGAACACGGGCUGUGGCACGGGAGGACAAAGAGGGGAAUACAAGUACUCCAGGCACGACUUCCACCCCGAAUAGACGCAGUGAUACAACAACAGCGACCUGCACCACGACGACCACAACGACCGCUGCGGGGACUGCGACGACGACAACGACCUACCCUGGUGUGAGAGAGUUACUCUCCCUGAAAUUGCUUCUUUACAUGAAGAAAUUAUAAAUAUAUUUCUUUCAUUGCACAAAAUAUUUUCUCAGAAGACAGCAGUUGGUACUAUUCCGACUUUGCGUUGUCACAAACUAAAGUUUAAUUUGAAAUUAGUUAAAACAUACUCUGGGGUCUUCAGAAUAUCACCGAGUAAAGUGACUUCUGUGGACUGAACAAAGGGAAUUUUAUUUGAAAUAAAAAUUAUUCCACUUGCACUCAAA